rnacentral:piRNA from 1 species
UCACCCCACUGUGACUCACCUUCUUC